GCGAUGGUGGUGUAGUUGGUUAUCACGUCAGUCUAACAGAGGAGCCUCAUGGCAGCCUGAUCAGUGAUCAGGCACGAGUCCACGAGUCCCUGGUAGUCCACUGAAGGUCCUGGGUUCAAGUCCCGGCCGUCGUA
rnacentral:tRNA from 1 species